CUGCAGUAAAUUGACUGUACAAAGGUAGCAUAAUCAUUAGUCAUUUAAAUGGUGACUGGAAUGAAAGAUUGGAUGAGAUAUAAACUGUCUCUAUAUUAAAAAUAAAAUUUAAUUUUUCAAUUAAAAAGUUGAAAUAAAUUUAAAAGACGAGAAGACCCUAUAGAGUUUAAUAAAUUAAAUUAAUUUUAUAAAAUAAAUAAAUAUGAUAUAAAAAUAAAAAAAUUUAUUUUGUUGGGGUGAUAAAAAAAUAAAAAUAACUUUUUUUAAAAUUAAACAUAAAUAAGUGAUUAAAUGAUCCAAAAUUUUUGAUUAGAAGAAUAAAUUACCUUAGGGAUAACAGCGUAAUUUUUUUUUUUA
rnacentral:rRNA from 1 species